rnacentral:rRNA from 1 species
UGAAGAAGGUAUCUUUGGGUCUGGCUCUUGUCUAUGUUUCUUGGAACAGAACGUCACAGAGGGUGAGAAUCCCGUGCGAUGAGAUGAUCCAGGCCUAUGUAAAGUUCCUUCGAAGAGUCGAGUUGUUUGGGAAUGCAGCUCUAAGUGGGUGGUAAAUUCCAUCUAAAGCUAAAUAUUGGCGAGAGACCGAUAGCGAACAAGUACAGUGAUGGAAAGAUGAAAAGAACUUUGAAAAGAGAGUGAAAAAGUACGUGAAAUUGUUGAAAGGGAAGGGCUUGAGAUCAGACUUGGUAUUUUGUAUGUUACUUCUUCGGGGGUGGCCUCUACAGUUUAUCGGGCCAGCAUCAGUUUGGGCGGUAGGAGAAUUGCGUUGGAAUGUGGCACGGCUUCGGUUGUGUGUUAUAGCCUUCGUCGAUACUGCCAGCCUAGACUGAGGACUGCGGUUUAUACCUAGGAUGUUGGCAUAAUGAUCUUAAGUCGCCCGUCUUGA